GCUCGGAUGGCGGAAUAGGUAGACGCACAGGACUUAAAAUCCUGUGGGCAUUUGCCCGUGAGGGUUCAAGUCCCUCUCCGAGCACAA
rnacentral:tRNA from 1 species